rnacentral:rRNA from 1 species
UACGUCGGGUGCAAGCGUUGUCCGGCAUUAUUGGGCGUAAAGAGCUCGUAGGCGGCUUGUCGCGUCGGCUGUGAAAACCCGGGGCUCAACCCCGGGCCUGCAGUCGAUACGGGCAGGCUAGAGUCCGGUAGGGGAGACUGGAAUUCCUGGUGUAGCGGUGAAAUGCGCAGAUAUCAGGAGGAACACCGGUGGCGAAGGCGGGUCUCUGGGCCGGAACUGACGCUAAGGAGCGAAAGCGUGGGGAGCGAACAGG